AGCAGCCGCGGUAAUUCCAGCUCCAAUAGCGUAUAUUAAAGUUGUUGCAGUUAAAAAGCUCGUAGUUGAAUUUCGGAAUCUGUCCGUUGGUCGGGCUUCAUUGUCCGUACUGGUGUGAUGGGUUCUUACCUUCUGAAUAACCAGCAUGCCAUUCAUUUGGUGCGUUGGGGAAGCAGGACUAUUACCUUGAAAAAAUUAGAGUGCUCAAAGCAGGCUAGUGCCUGAAUACAUUAGCAUGGAAUAAUAAAAUAGGACGGCAUGGUUCUAUUUUGUUGGUUUCUAGGAUCACCGUAAUGAUUAAUAGGGAUAGUUGGGGGCAUUAGUAUUCAAUUGUCAGAGGUGAAAUUCUUGGAUUUAUUGAAGACUAACUUCUGCGAAAGCAUUUGCCAAGGAUGUUUUCAUUAAUCAAGAACGAAAGUUAGGGGAUCGAAGACGAUCAGAUACCGUCGUAGUCUUAACCAUAAACUAUGCCGACUAGGGAUCGGACGAUGUUAAUUUUUUAANGACUCG
rnacentral:rRNA from 1 species